GGGACAGAACCCUAAGGGAAUUAUAUGAGAGAACUAAGCUCUGUAACAUCAAAUUCACUGAGCUAAGUAACUUGUAGUUCCUGAAAGAGAAAAAUUUCAUACUGAUAUAUCAAGAGCAGAUCUUGAGGGCUUUUCCAACAUUACUGGAAACAACUGCAGAAAACAUGAAGAUCUGUUUUUCAGCAAUGUCAAAACAAGGUCUCUUUUUCCCUCUCUUGGAUGCAGUUCCUUUCCUUCCAGUGUGAAACACACUCAUCUGAGGUUGCCUGUAUUCACAACUUACCUUAUGUUCUGCAUUUUCCACCUACCUCUCCCAUUACCCUCCUGUGAUCACUGUUGAAUAAAUGCAAUGCAUUAGGAAGCAUUUCAAAAUAAAUAUUAUUUUACAAUGAAUUUAUAUAUUAUAACUGGAAAUGGGUAUUCUAGAUACCUGAACAUAAGCAUGCUUUUCUGGAAUGCUAAUGAAUUUUCCUUUCUUUAAUAUUAUUUCCUCCCCUCAACCCCUCAAAGGAAGUGAAGCCACUCAGGUUAGUUUCUUUUAAGAUUUCAGCAUCUGAUAUUUUAUAUACAGCUAAGUGGCAUUUUUGCUAAGAGCACUGAAAACAAAGAAAGGUAGAAACACAUAAGAAAAUCAGUGGGAAACUGGCAACCUCAGUUUUGCUAAUCAGUCCAGGCUGCAAACUGGGACUGUGGGAAGACAAGGAUCACAAGGUAGGGGAUGAGAAAGGUCUACAUAUAAUGUUCAAGUAGAAUUACAGUGAAAAAUUCAACUUUAGGAACGGUAAACAUUAUGGUCUUUUUCAAGAUAUCUCAGGAAACUUGCUGAUGUUCUUUUUCCAGCAUUUGAUAUUUCUGGAUAACCAAAAAUUUGACAGGAGAAUAAAGGAUUUUCUAAGUGUUCAUUAUUUUGUAUAGAUUUUGGAAAGGUGGAUAUGAAGUACUACAGAACUGAUGUGACACCUGAGAGGUUGACAUAAGUUAAGAAGCUUUAUCCUCUCCGAGCAAAUUGGCUCUUCACAACCUGUCUGCACAGAAACAAUGGUUUGAGAUCAUGAUAUCUGAAGAAAUAUUCUACGUGGACUACUAAGAGUAUAGAGCUUUCGAGGCUUUUCAUCAUUACAAAUGAAAGUGAUACUAACUUCUGUUUGUCCUGAGAAUGUCAGGAUAAAUAGUGAUCCUCCUUGCUCUCAGCUGAUUCUCUAGGGUAGCCCAAGAAGCCUUUCACCACAUAAAUGAAUUAAGUUCAAAAGAGAAUCUGCUGACCUAAAAGGAGCCACAGAUCCAAGUAGGUAGGGUGAGAAAUCUGUGGUCUAUUAAAUUUGAGAAAAAGCAAACAAACUAGAAAAGGGGAGCCUUCUUUGUCUUCUCUGAUUGCAGACCUUGUCCACCUUUUGAAUUUUAAUGAGACCAUUUUCAUGACCUUUAAAUGAAGCCAGUUGAUAAGCUUUGAGCAUUUGAACUGCACUGCUCUCGCAGUGGAGACUGAGGAAAGGAAAAAAAAAAACAAAAAAAAAAAAGUGAAGAUAAAGCUAAAUGUGAGCCUUGGUUUUUAACUCUGUGAGCACAAUGCAUAAAGGUCUGCCUUUGUCCAUCAGCUCAUACAACCUGGCUCAUACUAUUACCCCAGUGACAGUGUUAAGUAAUGACAUAUAUUUCCAUAAGUUCUAAGAGUACUGUAGAAAAGCUCAUACUUUCCAAACAAGUUCUGUUAAAAAAAAAAAAAAAAGUCAGGAAGACUGGGACACAAUCUCUGUUACCCUGUUUUUGAUGUUCCUGCUUCACCAGGAGGAUAGAACCAGCAGCCUCUGCCAACCUCAGUCAUUCUGUGAUUCUCUAUUCCUUCAACAAAAAGCUGAGGUGGAUCACUGUUAAAACAGAUGCAAAGGAAAAAAAAGAAAAAAAAAGAAAAAAAAAAGAAAAAAAAAAAAGACCACAUUAAAAACCUACUAUUUCUUUGAAAUUUUUUCUAUUACACCAGAAUGUUGACACCAGAAUAUGAGAAGGUUGACUGUGGAAGAGGUCACUAGAACAUCCUCCUUGGGAUGGUCUCUCCAGUGCAGCAGCUGGUGAUGACAGCAGCACUGUAGCCAGCAUAGUCAUCACCCUGUUUUCUCCUCCCGUGGACUGGCACAGCCCAGGUGGCCAUUUCACACAGGACAUUCCCCCUCACAGCUGUGACUGCACAAGGACCAAGCAAAUGACACAGCUAACGGGCCUUGGUCUGCUUGAUGAGGGCAGAGUGGGGAACCUGCCCUUUUCAGGCACUUGCUGGGCACUGAUGCCUCAGAACUGAACAUAAUGGACAUGCAGCAGACACUGCUCAGUAGACAGUGGGUAUUGCUCCCACACAUUUUCUCUGCAACCAAACCACAUCUUGGGGAGCUGGAUCCUACGCAACUGAAGAUGAUGUUGCAUGGACACUUGCAACAGAGAGAGUUGUAACAUCCAGGCAGUGACCAUCCAAAAUCCAUUAUCUCUGGAAGCUCCAACUGUACACUGUUGCCAGUAAAUUGCUUCUAUGAACAAAUGCUCUAUCAGCGAAUGUCUGUGAAGAACUUUGAGGGGGAAUGUGGCCAUAGGGUGCUGAGUGCACCAAUGCCACACAGCUAGUAAACAUUGCCAGAAAGACAGAACCACAGACUGACCGACAUCAAAAGCGACCCCUUUGAGCUAUGGGAGGCUAUAAGAUAGAAGGUGACAGGUUCUUCAACAGAGUCUGCUGUGACAGGACAAGGAAAAAUGAUUUCAAACUAAAAGAGGGGAAACUUAACUGGAUAUAAAGAAGAAGUUUUUUAUGAUAAGUGUGGUGAAGCACUAUGUGGGAAAAUUUGCCCAGAGCGGUGGUGGAAGUCCCGUCCUUAGAGACAUUCAAGGUCAGGCUGGACAGGGCUCUGAGCAACCUAAUCUAGUUGUAGGUGUCACUGUUCAUUGCAGGGAAGUUCUACUAAGUGAUCUUCAAAGGUCACUUCCAGCUCCAAUGACUCCAUGAUUCUAUGAAUAUAAAACUGGAAGACAAUGAGGGACAAAGAAUAUUUGCUGCCUUUCUGUACAGUUGAGUGUCAGGUACCCAGCCAAAAAUUGAUUAUUUAUUCUCUGAUGCAUAUUGUUUCUCUUUAGCUUAUUGUUUUACCAUUAGUCUUUUACACAAUAAAUUUCAUAUUUUUUUGCAUAUUGAAAACAUAUGAAGGAAUUCAUAUAGCUAUUAUAGUUAAGAAUUGUGCUGAUGUUAUUGCUAUUUCACAUCUAUUCACUGUAUUUUGACAUCUGGAUUUCAGCUGAAUCCUUAAACUAAAUUAACCCUAAAGUCAUGCACUUCACUAGCACCUGUUUAUAACGCUACUAGACUACCUCUUUCUGAAAAUUUUCUGUCACUUCUCUGCAACUUUCUCCAUUUUGUAACAGACCUUGAUUUAAUUCUUGUUCCAUAAUCAACAAGAACUACCCAGUUUGACUGCAAGAUGCUUUACCAGAACAUGCUUUGGAGCAUUUUUCAGUUUAUGCAGACACCUCAGUCUUCAUAAUUCAAACAACUAAUGCCAUCUCAGAUUCUUGUUGGCCUCCCUUUCUUUUUUUUCUUUUUUUUCUUUUUUUUUUCAUAACAGGUCAGAGACACAUAAAUACAUUUUAAUCCUUCUCAGUUUAUAAUUAGAACAUAGGCACUGUUGUUUGUUUGUUUGUUUGUUUUUCCCCACAGCAACAUAUUCUUCUUCUUAAUGUUUUUUUCUUUCCCUUUCCUCUUUCUUCUUAGUGGUGCCAAUGAGCAAAAGAGAUAAGGUUAUCUUAAAGCUGUUAGAGAUGCCUUCAGGGUUGAUAUCCUUCUUUUUUUCCUCUGGUUAUUACAAGUUUUUCAGGAUAACCUUAUCUCAGAAUUUCUUAGUUUGAAUGUUUGAGGUAUGAGAUAACAUCCUCACAAUGUUACUUUUACCUUUCAGUCGCUGACAUGAGUUCACAAUUUCAUUAUUAUUUCUAAACUCUCCAGUUGGGAAUUCCUUCAGUUAUUAAAAAAUGUACCAAAUGUCAAAACCAGAAAACUACAACAAAUGAUAUGAUAGAUCAUGUGAUAAGAAGAUUUUUAAUGUCAACUGUUAUUUUUUUCUUUCCUUUACAUUCAAGAAACAGUUCAUCAGCACAGUGCAAAGCACUUAGCAACAUCACCUAUUAUGAUAUCAUGACUCUUGCAGUGGUAUCUAGGAAACCAAAGUGAAAUAGAACCUCACUGGCAUAGAUGCUAUGCAAAACUGUAUUUAAAGCUUCUAUGCAUUGUCAGAUGAAUACAACACAGUUAAUACAUGCUUAAUAACCCAAACCUUUAACCUGCAAUUAGUCUGUGCUAUUUUGCUAUUAAUUAGCAGCAACCUUAUAGGUUUAUGUAAUGAGAAACAUUACAUGGAAUGGGAAGAGUGGAUAUAAACCUUUGAUUCUGUUUAGAGAAAUGUACACAAUCUUCUGAAAGCAUUACUACAUCUCUUGUUAAAACUAGACCAAAAGUUGAGGCACCCCUGCUGCACAGUUUAAACUGCGUACCUUCACAGCUGCAAAUUAGUACUCCAGAAAAGAGUCUCUGCUCUGAAUGAUCACAGAAAAUGCUCUUGUAAAACAACAAUGGUAUUGUCAGUGAUUAAAGUUCUCCCUGCACUGUCUUUUUGACACUUCUGUUAGGAACUUGCCAAGAGUGAAGCUGCCUUUAGUGUGUAACUCUGAAACCAAUACCAUGAGCCACAGAACCUGAAAUAUUUCAAUUCACCUGUGGCAACUAUUACCAGAUCUCCACAAUCUCUGACCCACUACAGCUGAGCAUCUAUGGUGUCACCUGGCUAAUCAGUUAAAUGUACUUGAUAAAUGCCUUCAAAGUACAUGUCUUGGAGUAAUUUGUUUGUCUACUGCUCUGUUUUCUUUAAUCACUGUGUUGACAAACUAUUCACUCAGUUCAGUGGAUCAUCUUGGGAGGAGACAGAAUGUUGUGAACACAACAGCAAAUAUUUUGGACAUUCUUUCAGUAUCUUUUCCCAUUGUCUUUAAAUACCUCCUGGAGAGUGGAUUAGUGGUAAUUUUCAGGCACGUUAUUCCUAGUUUAAAAUGACAAAGUGACU
ensembl:lncRNA